rnacentral:piRNA from 1 species
UUCUGAAGCCAUGGUGGAUCUGCACA